AGACCCGAAACCCGGUGAUCUAGCCAUGGGCAGGUUGAAGGUUGGGUAACACUAACUGGAGGACCGAACCGACUAAUGUUGAAAAAUUAGCGGAUGACCUGUGGCUGGGGGUGAAAGGCCAAUCAAACCGGGAGAUAGCUGGUUCUCCCCGAAAGCUAUUUAGGUAGCGCCUCGUGAAUUCAUCUCCGGGGGUAGAGCACUGUUUCGGCUAGGGGGCCAUCCCGGCUUACCAACCCGAUGCAAACUGCGAAUACCGGAGAAUGUUAUCACGGGAGACACACGGCGGGUGCUAACGUCCGUCGUGAAGAGGGAAACAACCCAGACCGCCAGCUAAGGUCCCAAAGUCAUGGUUAAGUGGGAAACGAUGUGGGAAGGCCCAGACAGCCAGGAUGUUGGCUUAGAAGCAGCCAUCAUUUAAAGAAAGCGUAAUAGCUCACUGGUCGAGUCGGCCUGCGCGGAAGAUGUAACGGGGCUAAACCAUGCACCGAAGCUGCGGCAGCGAACGUAUCACCCAAGACAACUUUACGGAGUUGACGAUUGACGGAGCGAAGCGACGUCAAAGCGUUCAUUAAAGUCGAGUUGGCUUAGGGAUACGUUCGUUGGGUAGGGGAGCGUUCUGUAAGCCUGUGAAGGUGUGUCGUGAGGCAUGCUGGAGGUAUCAGAAGUGCGAAUGCUGACAUAAGUAACGAUAAAGCGGGUGAAAAGCCCGCUCGCCGGAAGACCAAGGGUUCCUGUCCAACGUUAAUCGGGGCAGGGUGAGUCGACCCCUAAGGCGAGGCCGAAAGGCGUAGUCGAUGGGAAACGGGUUAAUAUUCCCGUACUUGGUGUUACUGCGAAGGGGGGACGGAGAAGGCUAUGUUGGCCGGGCGACGGUUGUCCCGGUUUAAGCGUGUAGGUGUGUGUUCCAGGUAAAUCCGGUUCACUUUAACACUGAGGCGUGAUGACGAGGCACUACGGUGCUGAAGCAACAAAUGCCCUGCUUCCAGGAAAAGCCUCUAAGCAUCAGGUAACAUCAAAUCGUACCCCA
rnacentral:rRNA from 2 species